GACGAACGCUGGCGGCGUGCCUAAUACAUGCAAGUUGAGCGAUGAAGAUUGGUGCUUGCACCAAUUUGAAGAGCAGCGAACGGGUGAGUAACGCGUGGGGAAUCUGCCUUUGAGCGGGGGACAACAUUUGGAAACGAAUGCUAAUACCGCAUAACAACUUUAAACAUAAGUUUUAAGUUUGAAAGAUGCAAUUGCAUCACUCAAAGAUGAUCCCGCGUUGUAUUAGCUAGGUGGUGAGGUAAAGGCUCACCAAGGCGAUGAUACAUAGCCGACCUGAGAGGGUGAUCGGCCACAUUGGGACUGAGACACGGCCCAAACUCCUACGGGAGGCAGCAGUAGGGAAUCUUCGGCAAUGGACGAAAGUCUGGCCGAGCAACGCCGCGUGAGUGAAGAAGGUUUUCGGAUCGUAAAACUCUGUUGGUAGAGAAGAACGUUGGUGAGAGUGGAAAGCUCAUCAAGUGACGGUAACUACCCAGAAAGGGACGGCUAACUACGUG
rnacentral:rRNA from 1 species